GUGUGCGUGGUAAUUUGUCACCGGCGGCCGGCGGGUAGCUCAGAGUGUGGUUGGAGGGUGUGAGGGUCGUGCAGCGGUCUUCGGCGGUGGCGAGGGCGGUCUUUUUUUCGGAGUGUGCCCGGGCCUGCAGAAACGGUAUUUAAAGAGCUCGCUCGCCCGGCUAACGUCAGUCCGUCGCCGUCAUUUCUUACUCGCUGUAGUUCUCUGCACUAUUUCUCAUCGGUGGCGGCGGCACAACUUUCGACUGCAACACUUACACCUACGAUUCAGUACUGGUGGUUAGCCGCCCUGAGUACGUUCGAGUCACUAUUGGGCUCAGCCGACCGCCACUGACGAUCAGUUCAAGGACGACGACAACUACAACCACAGGUCGUGGGCAACUUCCACUCGUUCUAGGGGGCAACUUCCGCUGGUCUUAGUGCGCAACUUCCGCAGGUCCUAGGGCCGCUUCUGCUACGCCGUCUGCCUGCCGUCAACCAGUCGCCUAUUGCCGGUCUACUCUAUAUCUAUACGACUACAAUAUGGUGGACUUGGUCAAUAUCGUGUUCAUCUUCAUGACAUGUGUUAGCUGUAUCUAUAACUUCGACUCCUACUACGACAACGCCUUUGACAUUUCAACUAAUGGGGAAAUUGAGGAAUCACAAAUGGCACUUGACCCACUUAUGGCAUACCUAUAUUGGUGUUGGGAAAACAGUUUUUUCUCUAAGGUUUUAAUGGCGGGGGUGAAGAUAUUCGAAAUUGUGUUCCUCUUGUACGUUUUUCGAGGGGUUUUGCUGGUGAUAUUCGACGUUUUGGAUCAACCGCUCCACCAGUUACAACAACAGCAAUGACAAGGCCGGUAAACACUUUUAGUCCACCGUCGUCAUACAGCUGGUUGUAGGCAUACAUCUAUCGUCUAUCGUCUAUUGAAAUUGAAAACAUAUACAUCGACAUCGCUGAAUUAUUUAUUUUAACACUAAAAAGUUUAAAAAUCGUUUGUCGUGAUUAUGCUUUAUCGCGCGUACUUAUUAUCUUACUGAUAAAAUUAUCAUAAUUUGUUUUCCUAAUACUAAUAUGUUUUAUUGCUACAUCGUUAACCUAUGAUUAAUUCUCAUACUGAAUUUAAUUCAAACAUUUUAAUUUUGAACUUAUAUGUUACAAAAGUACAAUACUGUUAUAUUAAUAAAUUAUAUAUAUUAUAUUAUAGGCACAAUAAUUAUAAUAUUAUACUAUAGUCUAUUAGCAUUUAUAAUUUAUUGUUUUACAUUAUAUAUUUAUAAGCUUGCACAAUAAACCAAUAUGGAUUUUACGAUA